GGGGAAGUAUUGAUGCAAUGGGGAAGGACCCUGAUCCAGCCAUGCCGCGUGUGUGAAGAAGGCCUUAUGGUUGUAAAGCACUUUAAGCGAGGAGGAGGCUCUUUUGGUUAAUACCCAAGAUGAGUGGACGUUACUCGCAGAAUAAGCACCGGCUAACUCUGUGCCAGCAGCCGCGGUAAUACAGAGGGUGCGAGCGUUAAUCGGAUUUACUGGGCGUAAAGCGUGCGUAGGCGGCUUUUAAGUCGGAUGUGAAAUCCCCGAGCUUAACUUGGGAAUUGCAUUCGAUACUGGGAAGCUAGAGUAUGGGAGAGGAUGGUAGAAUUCCAGGUGUAGCGGUGAAAUGCGUAGAGAUCUGGAGGAAUACCGAUGGCGAAGGCAGCCAUCUGGCCUAAUACUGACGCUGAGGUACGAAAGCAUGGGAGCAACA
rnacentral:rRNA from 1 species